GAAUUGACGGGGGCCCGCACAAGCGGAGGAACAUGUGGUUUAAUUCGAUGAUACGCGAGGAACCUUACCCGGGCUUGAAUUGCAGAUGAAGGAUCCAGAGAUGGUGACGCCCUUCGGGGCAUCUGUGAAGGUGCUGCAUGGUUGUCGUCAGCUCGUGCCGUGAGGUGUCGGCUCAAGUGCCAUAACGAGCGCAACCCCUUUCUUCAGUUGCCAUCAGGUAAAGCUGGGCACUCUGGAGAUACUGCCACCGCAAGGUGUGAGGAAGGUGGGGAUGACGUCAAGUCAGCACGGCCCUUACGUCCGGGGCUACACACGUGUUACAAUGGGGGGUACAGAAAGCCGGCUGCCCGCAAGGUCAGUCCAAUCAAGAAAGCCUCCCUCAGUUCGGACUGGGGUCUGCAACCCGACCCCACGAAGCUGGAUUCGCUAGUAAUCGCGCAUCAGCCAUGGCGCGGUGAAUACGUUCCCGGGCCUUGUACACACCG
rnacentral:rRNA from 1 species